GGUUGAUCCUGCCAGUGGUUGUAUAUUAGGGUAUAAGACUAAGCCAUGCAUGUGCUAGUGAACUGAUGUAGACUGCGGAUAGCUCAAUAUAAUAACCAGCACUCAGGCAUUCUUCGUCCAGGACAAUAGGCGGAAACACUGCCGGUAACCCUGUAGUACUUAACCAUAUUUGAACUUGGUAUUGAAACCUUUAAGGGAGUUUGCGUAGCUGGUUAUCCUAUCAGUUGACUACAGUAGGGUAGUUGCCUACUGUGACGAUCACGGGUGACGGGGAAUGAGGGUUUGAUUCCGG
rnacentral:rRNA from 1 species